UACGUAGGUGGCAAGCGUUGUCCGGAUUUAUUGGGUUUAAAGGGUGCGUAGGCGGUCCUAUAAGUCAGUGCUGAAAUAUCCCGGCUUAACCGGGAGGGUGGCAUUGAUACUGUUGGACUUGAGUACAGAUGAGGUAGGCGGAAUUGACGGUGUAGCGGUGAAAUGCAUAGAUAUCGUCAAGAACACCGAUAGCGAAGGCAGCUUACUGGGCUGUAACUGACGCUGAUGCACGAAAGUGUGGGGAUCAAACAGG
rnacentral:rRNA from 1 species